AACCAGUCUGUAGUUGGGAAUCUGAUCUGCUUAAGCAGAACAGAAAACUUUGCACUACACUGAUGAGCCCCAAGAACAGUGAAACUGGUC
rnacentral:hammerhead_ribozyme from 21 species